AUCUUUUUGUGGUUCAUAAGCAUGAUGACUGGGUCUUCACACAAACGUUUAAGAUGUGAGGGAGACACAUCUUAUUAUAAUGUCAGCAUAUUUCCUGUCCAAAG
ensembl:snoRNA